AUCUUUUUAGUAUAAAAAUUAUAUUUGACUUCCAAUCAAAAGAUCUUAAUUAUAAGAAAAGAUA
rnacentral:tRNA from 1 species